GUGGGCAGCGGUCGCACCCCGCGCGUUAGGUGGGCCCGGGGAACAGCGGCUGUCGCUGCUCGGGCGGUCCCGCCGGUCUCUCUGUGUGCGCAUGAGGAGAUGGGCGGGAGCGCCGCGCCCGGCAGGCUCCAGGGAGAUGCCAAGCGACGGGAGCAACUCCGUUUCCACGGCGGGGAAACCUUUGUUGGUCGCUCCCGUCUCGCAGAGGCUGCAAGGGGCGCACGGUCACAGCCAGCGCUGUGCCUGUCUGGAUGCUCUGGUAAGCGCCUGCCUCUGUCAGCAACUUUCCUGUCUGAAAAACAACAAUGCAUUCUUUAUGGUGCAUUUGCCACAUGGCUGCAUCAGUGCAGAAGUACAUUUGGAUGAGGUUUGGAGAUUAAGUCAUUCGUUUCUUCCUCAACCAAACAGGAUUCAUAAUUCUCCUCUCCUAGCGUAACUUCCAGGAAUGACCAACACACAGCCCCGAGCUUUAAUUUCAGCAUUGUCGGUUGCUCACUUUGGCCAACCUCUUCAGCUUACUAGUAGCUUGAACUGAGCACUUAAAUCCAUAUGGAAGGACCUGUAUCUAAGUUAGUAGGACUUGUGAAUUUGUGAAGAAGCAAAGUGGAUAAAUGGUCUGCUGGAAGUGUGUAUAGGGUUUUAACCCUACAAAAUCUCUUGGUGAAUAUUCCUGCCAAGCUGUUAGUGUCAAACUUGCCUCCCUCUGAUAAUUAUUAUCUCCAGCUGCUUACAUCAAAGCUUAUUUGGCUGGUAUUUAUGAACACACUAAAUAUUGUUCAAAUAGUAAAUAUUACCUAUAUUUCUUCAUUUUUGGGUGUUUUUUUUAAAUGAAAAUAUAUGCUUCCCACCCAAGCCCCACUCAGCGUCCCAGGUAGGCCAUGGGGAGGUCUCUGCAAGGCACUGAACAGACAGCUACAAAUAAAUUUGGCAAAACACAUCACCCGGACAUUAUCCGAUUAGAAGCAAGCCUCAGUCAGGACUAGAAAGCCCUAGAUUUGAACUUGAAAGAUGAAAAAAAAGGUCCCUGGGGAAGACACAUUAUUGAAUUAAAUGCUGUAGGCACAGGUUGUGUGUAGACAUGAUAUAUCUGAAAUAUAUCAUGUCACGUUGAUAAGGGGAUGGAGACUCAAUGUGUAGAUGAUGCAAAAACAUGGCUACAAUAAAAUACCAGCCUUGAAAAAUUUUGUUCCAAAACAAAUGCCUUGUUUUCUUAAUUUCAAUACUGACACUCCAGAAAUGCACACAAAUUAACUGUUCUAUUUGUGGUUAAUUUAAUACCAUUUUCUCUAAAGAAACAAUCAUCUUUACCCUCAUCUGAAAAAAGAUAAGUUUCAGGUGUCUUUUCUAAUUACACACUUUUAUCUAUUCCUGUACUGAAUUUGGGUGUCAGUACUAAGUUUCUGUGUAACAUCACUUAGCUUGCAUCAGCUCAGCAUUAAUUGUGAAAUAUGUCUUACUCACUGUGCUGAGCAUGGAAAACUGGAGGGUUCCUGCAUGAGCACACUGUCAUGGUUUGAGAUAUAGGCAGAACAAGCACAGGAUGAAGCUCUCCCCAUCUUUCAAAGACAGGCCUGGCUGUUUCCCUUUAUUCACACGUGGUAAACCAUUGGGUAUUUCUGCCACUGCUGUUCAAUUUGCAUCACACCUUCGGUUGCCAGGCUUUCUGCAGCCUUAAAGGACCUAUUGAACUUGAGCUCAAGGGUAGCUCUUUCUAUACUUAAGGAAGAGAGAAGUGUCUGUUUUCUCACCCAGUUUGGAGUGCAAAGAGAUGUGUGCAUUGCAGACCUGAAUUUUCAGAGCAAGCCAGAGCAGUCCUGUGAAAAAGCAAGUUCCUAGACUUUGAAGAGUCUCUCGAUUGCUAAAAGAACAAGAAGUGAACAUUAUUAAUAAAUCAGCCACAACACAUCUUUGGCAGUACAGCCAUCAUUUGCUUCUCACAGCCUGUUCAGUAGUGUUCUUAUUCAGUCAAAUUUCAGCAUACUCACUGUC